rnacentral:rRNA from 1 species
CCUAAUACAUGCAAGUCGAGCGGUAACAGGGGGUUCCACCGUGCUCUUGACACUCUGGGCUUAUAUAGCGAGAGGUUAGAAUUCGAGAGUACAGUGGAACCUUGCUGACGAGCGGCGAACGGCUGAGUAACGCGUGGGAACGUACCCCAAACUGAGGGAUAACUACUCGAAAGAGUGGCUAAUACCGCAUGUGCUCUUCGGAGUAAAGCUUUUGCGGUUUGGGAAUGGCCUGCGUACGAUUAGAUAGUUGGUGAGGUAAUGGCUCACCAAGUCGACGAUCGUUAGAUGGUUUGAGAGGAUGAUCAUCCAGACUGGGACUGAGACACGGCCCAGACUCCUACGGGAGGCAGCAGUAGGGAAUCUUUCACAAUGGGCGCAAGCCUGAUGGAGCAAUGCCGCGUGCAGGAUGAAGGCCUUCGGGUUGUAAACUGCUUUUAUAAGCGAGAAAUAUGAUGGUAACUUAUGAAUAAGGAUCGGCUAACUACGUGCC